CCCCGUGCUUCCUCCUUAGCGUGGCCCCCCUUCCGAUCUCCUCAACUCUAAAACCCCAACCGGUGUGCCCCCCCGAUCUCCUCCACUUUAAAAUCUCAGUCAACAUGCCCCCCCUUCGAUCUCCACUCUAAAACCCCAGCCGGCAUCUAAGCUUCCUCAGUACCCCCGCCCCUCACCCCCCCUCCCCUCCACCCCUUGCGAUGGCCCGGCGGUGGUUUGACCUCCCCUCUUCGACGCAAAAGAAAUCAGGAAGCGGGGAUCUCUCCCUCCACAUCCGUCGGACUCCUCCAUCGUUGCCUUCCU
rnacentral:lncRNA from 1 species